AAUGAAAGACCCCUGUCCCUUAGCCCUUUCUUUCUCAAGUUUGUCUCCUCUUCCUCCUGUCGGCGGCUUCCCCGAUCCCCACCCCCGGUGGCCUUUCCCCGCCCGGCCCGAGAACAAGCACCGGGUGGGGCCGGCCCGAGAAUGAGCACCAGGUGGGGCCGGCCCGAGAAUGAGCACCAGGUGGGCCGGCCCGAGAAUGAGCACCAGGUGGGCCAGCCCGAGAACGAGCACCGGGUGGGCCGGCACGAGGGCGAGCACCAGGUGGGUCAGCACGAGAACAAACACCGAGUGAGCCGGCCUGGAGCCCUGCCCCUGAGCCCCCGCCCCGCCCGAAGAGAAACACUCCGUCCCAAGGUCUCCGCCCCCAAGGUCAGCCAUCAGGAAGGGGGGGGGGAAUUGAGUCUGCUGUACCAGACACCAGAC
rnacentral:lncRNA from 1 species